CGUCCCCAGGUCCUUCUCCAGAGGCUCCAUCUGGGGCGUGGCCUUUGGCCUUCCUGAAGCUCCGGGAGAACCAUGCUGUCAGCAGCCUCUGCACACGAGGCACAGGGAGUUAGGAUGGAUCACACCGCUCCCCAUCGGGCCGAAUGUGUAUUUCAAUUUUCCUCCUCCUAGGUGAAGGCAGUCCACGAGCCACUCCAAUGAUCCACGUGGACGUGCCCGAUGCACGGGACUCACCAGGGUCCGCAUCCACACUCAACUUCUGCGAUCCUGUCCGGGAACAAGAGGUGUCCCUUGAUGAGCUGGACCAGCCAGUCGCUCUGCCAGGACCCUCACCCAAAGGUGAAGAGAGUGCGCGUGUCAACGAGAUGACCCACGUGAUCGUGACCGAUUCAAGGGACGCAGUGGAGACCGUAUGCGCCCCCAGUCUCCUCGAUUGCAGCCAGGAUCCGAAGGGGUCCCUCGAUGAGCCGGACCUUUCGAUUACUCCGCCAGGACCUCCACCCGCAGGCAAGCACUACAACAUGCCCCCCCCAAACACCCGCCUCGGAUCACGCCUCUAUUCCUACCAGGAAAAUCAUGACACAGCUACUCUGCAUGCAGCAGGCAUUUGUGGCCUAGGCCGAAUCCCAGCCCUCUCCCAGAAUCAGGCUAAGAAUCAAACUCUUAUGCCUUGAGAAGGCUCAAAACCGUUCUAGGGGAAGCUGUUUUCUUUGUUUGAACUCCUCUAGGAAAGUAGGUGUUGUCUUCUUUGUAUGCCCAGUGUUCAUCACUAUGUCGUUUUGUGUACACCAGUCUAUCUGUCUGCAUGUCACCGUAGGGUAAGGUUUCCUAAUUUCACCUCUCCCCACUCUUCUCCAUUGUGGCAUCCCCUGGGAAUCUAGGGACGGAGCAGGAAGGGAUGACACGUAUGCAUGACUUAGACGCAUUUACCACGUGGGUCUUGACUGAAGAGGUGUGGCAUGGGAUGUAAUCUAUUCUCAUUCCAAAGUAAGCUUGACCUGCGAACCUUCAUUCAGUUCAUACCCGGCGCCACCGGAAGCUUUCUUUCUCCCUCC
rnacentral:lncRNA from 1 species